AGUGAACAGCACUAUUCUUAACAGAGUUUAUUGCGGUUUUGUCAUCUGUUUGUCUCUCUCUCUUUCAACAUUUUGCAAUACUGAAGAGGCUAACGGCUAAAAAUAGCAACAAAACACCAACAAAAAGGUCUUUCUUCCUGUUUGGUCAGACACGCCCACCUCAUCAGUGAUUGCAGCCACCUGUUCAAGUCUUUAAAAGCUGUGGUGAACCAAGAUGGCUCUCUCUUCCUCGUGACCUCUCUCCUGGAAGGCAGGUGCCUUUCAGGAGCUCCUUUUCUUUUGGUUGUUUGUUUUGAGUAUGAUGAGUUUGAGUUACUUGUUAAGGUAACUUUAAUAAAACCUUAUGAUUCAUUUAAA